rnacentral:rRNA from 1 species
UACCACCGCCAUAUCACUCUGCAGCCCAAGACUGAUUAUUCACUGAAGUUAAGCUGGGCUGAGCCUAGUCAGUACCUGGAUGGAAGACCACAUGGAAAUGGAAGUGGUGUUAU